GUGCCAGCAGCCGCGGUAAGACGGGGGGUCCUAGCGUUGUUCGGAAUCAUUGGGCGUAAAGCGUGUGCAGGUGGUUUGGUAAGUUAGAUGUGAAAGCCUUGGGCUUAACCCAAGAAGUGCAUUUAAAACUACCAAACUUGAGUAUGGAAGAGGGUCGUGGAAUUCCAGGUGUAGUGGUGAAAUACGUAGAUAUCUGGAGGAACACCGGUGGCGAAGGCGGCGACCUGGUCCUAUACUGACACUCAUACACGAAAGCGUGGGGAUCAAACAGGAUUAGAUACCCUGGUAGUCC
rnacentral:rRNA from 1 species